AUUCUUUGGAGUGCUGGUUUGGUAUUCACGAAGUUCCUAAGGUGCUCCUUGUCAUGAAAGUAUCUUAUUUCACCAUCAAUUUUGAAAGAUAAUUUUGCAGGGUACAUCAACCUGGGUUUGAGAUUAUUUUCCUUUUGGGCUUGAAACACAUCACUCCAAGCUCAUCUUGCCUUGAUAGUUUGCACUGAGAAGUCUGGUGUGAUUCUGAUGGGCUUUCCUUUGUAUGUGAUUUGUUUCUUUUCUCUCACUGCUUGUAGAAUUUUGUUCUUCUGUUGGGUUUCUGAAAUCUUAACAAUUAUAUGUCUGUGUGUAGUUUUUUUUGAUCAAGGCUAGUUGGAGUCCUAUAUGCCUCGCUUAUCUGUAUGUCAAAUUGUUUUCCCCUGCUUGGGAAAUUUUCUGCCAUUACUUCUGUGAAGAGUUUUCUUAUGUCAUCUGCACUGUCUCCUCUUUCUUCAUUGACUCCAAUCAGUCUUAUGUUAUUUUUCUUUGCAUCAUCUAGCAGCUGCUGGAUUGAUUUCUCUUGGUCCCUUACAAAUUUAAAGAAUUUUUUCUUUUCCUGGUCACUAAUUGCAAUCUUAUCUUCCAAAUCUGAAAUUCUGUCUUCACUUUGGCUCAUUCUGCUAUGUAGACUUUCAAUGGAGUUUUUCAUCUCCUGGGAAUCUGUUUGCAUCUGUUUUAUGGAUUCCAUUUGUUUCCUGUGUUGGGAUUCCAUCAUGUUCCUCAGCUCCUCUACUUUUUUAUCUGUGUCCUCUCUAGAUUUAUUAAUCAUGUCUUGCACUAUGGGCAAAAUUUUUGCUGUUAUGUGAGAAAUUAUUUCUGAUUUCAUUUUUUCCAAAUCCUCUUUCAUUACUAGUUCAGUGAGUCCAGGUGGUUGAGUAUCAGAGUGUUCCAUCUCAUUUCCCUUUGGGUUUGCUGUAGGUGAUCUGGAAUUCCAGUUCUGAGGCUUGUUUACCUGUCUUCUCAUUUUGACAGGGGUCGGGGAGGGGGGUAUUCCUGGCACCCAGGCAGCUCACCUCCUCUGUGCUGGGAGCCACAGCAUGCCCACCCAGAAGCAUCCUCUCAGCUGGGAGCCAUGGCACACCUACCCAGAAUCGUCCUCCUGGCUGGGAGCCGUGGCGCGCCAACCCGGAAGUCUCCUCUGGCCUGGAAGGCAUGGCAUGCUGACCCAGAAGUCUCUUCUGGCCUGGGAGCCGAGGCACGCCUACCCAGAAGUGUCCUCUGGGCUGAUAGCCGUGGCAUGCCGACCCGGAGGCCUCCUCUGUGCUGGGAGCAGCAGCAUGCCCACCUAGAAAUGUCCCCUAAGUUGGGAGCUGCAGCACACCUUGUGAGGACCCUUUUUGCACAGGUAGAUUUUGCCAACCUUAUGGUGUUUUAUAUGUGAAUCCAGGAUUUUGCAAGUAUUUCUGUGUUGUUUGGUAGAACAGGUAGUUCUUUCACCUCCCCCUUGCCCUGUUCUUGAUAGGAGAAAGUGUGGAGUCAAAAGAAAUCUCCUCCAGUGCUGUGAGACCCAACUUAGCAAAAUGAGUACCAUGUUGAGAACAUUCUCCUCCAUUUUGCAAAUAUGGAACUUCCAACUGCACUCUUUCUCUCCGGAGAAAACCCCACCCCUAACUGAUAAACAGAAACUGUGUUUCAGGUGUUCUGCAACAAACAGUUACCCAGGGGAAUGGGAGGAACUAACUGUCCUUAUCCUGGCUUCUGUGACCAGCUUCUGCAACAAUCUGUAACCCAAGGGAAUGGGAGGAGGGACUUUUUCUGUGGUUUUUUUCUUUAAAUAUGCAGUCCUCAUUUCAGUUGGGGCCUUUGUCCUCUGACUUGGUUGGAGUGUACAUGGGUCCCGGCUGGAAAAUAAAGUUCUCCAAUAAGAUCCCAGGACUGUGUCAUGCUUUGAGAGUUCAUCACUAAUCUAAUUCGGGGAUGAGGUCCAACAAUGCUAGCCAUGCUGGGCAACCUUGGGAAUGUCACACUAACUGGAUCUGACAGGGUGAUAAUACCUCCCUCACAGACUUGUGAAGAUUAUGUGACAAAAUGCUUGGAGGUUUUCACACACACGAAGUCCUUGCCUUAUAUUAACUAUCAUAAACCCAUAACAUUUCUUUUAAAUUUUCCUGUGUAUGUUGGGAGGUAUAAAAAUGGCCCACUGUUUUUGUUUUUCAUUGCUUCGUGGCUAUUAUGAUCAGUUUUAGGACCUGGGAAGAACUCUUCGAACAGUUUUUCUUCUUGGAUACAUGAACUGCUAUAGAAACAUUCCUUGUCCUCAUGUGGUUUUGGAAUCGUAAGACUAAGACCAAAUUCAAGAGAUGGUACCAACACUUAGGUCUGAUUGUUUGACAGGAGAUGAGGAACAAAGAGUAAGUUUGUACUAUUUCAUUAAGUUUUUGCAAUAAUGAAGUUUGAAUUUAGGCUUAGGGUUGCAGGUAGCUACAGGAAGAAUAAAAAUGAAAUGACCUUCACAAUACUAGUAAAUUACAAAUGUAAUAUUGUCUCAGUUCUUCUUCAAGAAUCUUCUUGAAGGCCAGGGAUUUAGCUCAGUGGUUCUGCCACCUGCCGCAUAACCAUAAGGUCCCAAGUUUGAUGCUGGUACCAAAAAAAAAAAAAGAAUCUUCCUGAAGAUGACCCAUUAGAGACUUUAGAAAACUAUCAGAAUAGUUCUUCCAUUUUGGAGAGUGAUUGUAUAAAGCCACAAGCUAUGUUCUCUUUUAAGUAUUAUCUUGUUGUAAAAGAGAUUUUGAAUAUGAGAGGUAGUUGGAAAUGUAAGGACCCAGAUUUUUAAGAUUAGUAUAGAGUGGCAAUAGCCAUAAUAUAGUAGUACUGGGUGAACUGUUAGGAUACUAUUAAGAUAAAUUAAAAUGUUGAUUAUUUGGGAAUAUCCUUUUGGGAAGAAGACAUGAAAAUAAUGAUACUGUAAAGAACAUAGCACCCAGAUUCUGAAGUUUAUUCAUACACUAUUAAAUGAUUUUGUACUUCUUUCUUUUCAUUUAUCUAUUAGAGAUAAGUUUAGAUUUCUUUUCUUCCUUUAGAGAUUCUUGGAAUAUUUUAAAUCACCAAAUUGCGUUUGGAUUUGGGGCUCAAUUACUUAUCAAAUUUUAACUUUAGUUUCCUUACCUGUGGAAUGAGAAUAACACCACCAAGUGUGUUAAUACCUCUAUAAAUCUGAAAGGAAUGAAAAUGCAUACUGCAAACUAUCCUGCAGUCUUUUUUACUAUGCAUUUAAAAACUCUUUCAUGUAAGAAUUUCAAGGUCUAGUGAAACUGUAGAAAAAAGACAUUCUAAGAGUUAGUCUAUUGAAUUUUUGUACUCAUUAACUCUGUCAGUUUCUUUUAAAACUUAUAUCUCUGACACUUCCAUAACUAAUGAAGUUAUUCACUUAAAUGACUAAUGAAGUUACUUUAGUGGUAGGAAAUUGUGAUGCUAUUGAAAACACAGCAGGAGAAGUGGAAGGAACAACUCCAGAAGAAGUCACUGAACACUCAGGGUGCCUGGAUCGAUCCUGAGGAACUUCCCUAGGCCACCACUGUAAGACCGAGGGCCUUACCAAACUCUCCAAGGAGCUGACUAACGAAGCACACCCAGGAAUCCCAGCGGUGCCUUCAGAAUCUUUUACUGUUGUGUAGCUGUUUUCAGGGAAAGAUGCAGUGAGCUUCAGGACACAGAAAAGAUUCUGGCUCAGAUUGGAAGGGGAGAGGCAAGAAUUCAAAGAAGAGGAUAUAUGACGGGCUUUAUGUUAUCUCCUAAAACAUACCUGUGUUUAAAAGUUCAAAUCGUGGCAACUUGAGAUGGAAAAUACAAGUUUAUUACAUACAUUUAUAUUUAUAACUCAAAAAUGCCAAAGGAGAUGUAAUACUUUACUUAUAUUGACUGAAAGAGAAAACAUGGAACUAGAAAGAAAGGAGAAGCCAGAGAAACAGAAACAAGGCCAAAGCCUUCAACACAGAAGCAUAUAAUGAAUGGAGCACCCGAUGAUCAAGGAAGAAAAAAGAAGAUGAAAAGAUGAAUGCAUAUUUGUUUCAUAAUCACUAAUGGGUGUCAUAAAAUGUACUGUACAUUGCUCGAUUGUCAUGACAUUGAAAGGGAUCAAGUUCACCUGUUCAUUGUGAUAUAUUAUGUAGUUCCCCUUUUCAAAAUGC
rnacentral:lncRNA from 1 species